rnacentral:lncRNA from 1 species
GUGUUUCCUCCUUUUAUUCCUGAUAACUCAUCUGUCCUUUCAGUGAAGUGUAUUUUAAGCAUACUUUGCUCCAGUGAUGAGUAUCCUGCCAAAUCUCCAGUUAUUCCAAGUGAAAUUUCCUGUUAAUAACCCACCUCCGCUUUGGUAGCAAGAAGGUAAUGAACCUGGGGCAAAGGAGUACAAUUCGCGAAUACGGUAUUAGAGCAAGAAGCAACUGACAAACACAGUGGCCGGCCAUCAUCUUUUGAGUUGAGAGCACUUCUAGAAUUAGCCUUUCCAUCAUUUCUUUGAGGCAAGUUUGUAGAAGAAAUCUACCAUAAAGGAGGGGUAGUAAAAGAUGCCUUUAUACAGAUAACAUGCCUUAGCCUAAGGGAUAGGAGUCGUGGCUUCUAGUCUAUCAGUGACCUUCCUGACAAGGAAAUCAUACUUUCUCACUGGCCAAGAUUGGGUGUAGAAAUCAGUGUCACACCAUGCUCUUCACUACCUACUCAGGCAAGGCACAAAAUACCGGUGGGUACUGGGAAAUUGUGCUGUUAAUUGAAAUAUCUAGAUUAUGUUGUUUCUGAGCUCUGUACCUAUCCCCUGCAGACCCUGAGUAGACUGCUUCAAAUUUGUGUGAUCUUCCAGCUAAGGCAGACAGUCCGUGGGAAGUGUCACGAGGUGGAGGGAAGUAUGGCAGGGCCUUCCACAGGACAGAGCAGCCUUCUGUCAGGACAGGCGUGUGUAGAAAUGUGGAAAUGAGGCAGGGCUGCCUUCACAGAAACCUGUGUCCUGGUCUCCGACGCUAACUGUGCCAGGCAGAGUCCAAUCGAGUCAUACUGGGGCUGGCGUUGUAACUGGUAGAGCAUCUGCCUAGCACAGGUGAGGCCCUGAGUCCCAUCCUGUCACCACCCCCUCCAGCGAAACCCUCAGACCCUUUUUUUGGUUCAUGAGGCAAAGAUGCAAACAGCAUUGUUUUGGGGCGGUCAAACCACCCUACCGAACAGUUUCGCAUGACCUGUGUGGCCUGGCAGAGCCUAUGUCCUUGUGUUUAAAUGCUGCUUCCUCCAUUUCCACCUUGACCUUCUGAGGACUCCUUUGGCUUGCUGAAGUUUCAGAUUCUUGUUGGAGGCAGCCUGGAAGCUGG